rnacentral:rRNA from 1 species
UACGGGGGGGGCAAGCGUUGUUCGGAAUUACUGGGCGUAAAGGGCUCGUAGGCGGCCAACUAAGUCAGACGUGAAAUCCCUCGGCUUAACCGGGGAACUGCGUCUGAUACUGGAUGGCUUGAGUUUGGGAGAGGGAUGCGGAAUUCCAGGUGUAGCGGUGAAAUGCGUAGAUAUCUGGAGGAACACCGGUGGCGAAGGCGGCUCACUGGACCGGUUCUGACGCUGAGGCGCGAAAGCGUGGGGAGCAAACGGG